rnacentral:rRNA from 1 species
CACGCAGGCGGUUCGUUGAAUUAGGAGUGAAAGCCCUGGGCUCAACCCGGGAAUUGCUCUUAAGACUGGCGAACUCGAAUACGGAAGAGGGCAGUGGAAUUCCCAGUGUAGAGGUGAAAUUCGUAGAUAUUGGGAAGAACACCGGUGGCGAAGGCGACUGCCUGGUCCGUUAUUGACGCUCAUGUGCGAAAGCGUGGGGAGCAAACAGGAUUAGAUACCCUGGUAGUCCACGCCGUAAACUAUGAGUGCUAGUUGUUGGGGCACGAAGUGCCUCAGUGACGCAGCUAACGCAUUAAGCACUCCGCCUGGGGAGUACGGCCGCAAGGUUAAA